rnacentral:rRNA from 1 species
AUUGAACGCUAGCGGGAUGCUUUACACAUGCAAGUCGAACGAGUGGCGGACGGGUGAGUAAUAUCUGGGAACGUGCCCAGUGGAGGGGGAUAACUACUGGAAAGGGUAGCUAAUACCGCAUACUAUUGGAGCUGCCGAUAUGGGAUUAGCUAGUUGGUGGGGUAAAGGCUCACCGAGGCAAAGAUCCGUAGCUGGUUUUAGAGGACGACCAGCCAAGCUGGGACUGAGAAGCGGCCCAGACUCCUAGGAGAGGCAGCAGUGGGGAAUUGUAGACAAUGGGGGAAAGCCUGAUCCAGCCAUGCCGCGUGUAUGAGAAGGCCUUCGGGUUGUAAAGUACUUUUGGCAGAGAAGCGGUAUCUGCAGAAGAAGCACCGGCUAACUACGUGCCAGCAGCCGCGGUAAUUC